rnacentral:rRNA from 1 species
GUGACGACGAGGCACUACGGUGCUGAAGCAACAAAUGCCCUGCUUCCAGGAAAAGCCUCUAAGCAUCAGGUAACAUCAAAUCGUACCCCAAACCGACACAGGUGGUCAGGUAGAGAAUACCAAGGCGCUUGAGAGAACUCGGGUGAAGGAACUAGGCAAAAUGGUGCCGUAACUUCGGGAGAAGGCACGCUGACACGUAGGUGAAGUGAUUUACUCAUGGAGCUGAAGUCAGUCGAAGAUACCAGCUGGCUGCAACUGUUUAUUAAAAACACAGCACUGUGCAAACACGAAAGUGGACGUAUACGGUGUGACGCCUGCCCGGUGCCGGAAGGUUAAUUGAUGGGGUCAGCGCAAGCGAAGCUCCUGAUCGAAGCCCCGGUAAACGGCGGCCGUAACUAUAACGGUCCUAAGGUAGCGAAAUUCCUUGUCGGGUAAGUUCCGACCUGCACGAAUGGCGUAAUGAUGGCCAGGCUGUCUCCACCCGAGACUCAGUGAAAUUGAACUCGCUGUGAAGAUGCAGUGUACCCGCGGCAAGACGGAAAGACCCCGUGAACCUUUACUAUAGCUUGACACUGAACAUUGAGCCUUGAUGUGUAGGAUAGGUGGGAGGCUUUGAAGUGUGGACGCCAGUCUGCAUGGAGCCGACCUUGAAAUACCACCCUUUAAUGUUUGAUGUUCUAACGUGGACCCGUAAUCCGGGUUGCGGACAGUGUCUGGUGGGUAGUUUGACUGGGGCGGUCUCCUCCUAAAGAGUAACGGAGGAGCACGAAGGUUGGCUAAUCCUGGUCGGACAUCAGGAGGUUAGUGCAAUGGCAUAAGCCAGCUUGACUGCGAGCGUGACGGCGCGAGCAGGUGCGAAAGCAGGUCAUAGUGAUCCGGUGGUUCUGAAUGGAAGGGCCAUCGCUCAACGGAUAAAAGGUACUCCGGGGAUAACAGGCUGAUACCGCCCAAGAGUUCAUAUCGACGGCGGUGUUUGGCACCUCGAUGUCGGCUCAUCACAUCCUGGGGCUGAAGUAGGUCCCAAGGGUAUGGCUGUUCGCCAUUUAAAGUGGUACGCGAGCUGGGUUUAGAACGUCGUGAGACAGUUCGGUCCCUAUCUGCCGUGGGCGCUGGAGAACUGAGGGGGGCUGCUCCUAGUACGAGAGGACCGGAGUGGACGCAUCACUGGUGUUCGGGUUGUCAUGCCAAUGGCACUGCCCGGUAGCUAAAUGCGGAAGAGAUAAGUGCUGAAAGCAUCUAAGCACGAAACUUGCCCCGA